GAUGCUCUCCUUUGAUGAGAUCCAAAGAAACAGCUUCAGAUUCGAUACCCUCGCUCGCUUCGGAGAAGCAUAGACAGUGCCGUACAUCUUCACCACCAUUUUAUCCGAUCAGAGAUUAAGCAACAAGAAGUGGGAGCCAGUGAGGAGUGAGGACUGUGUCAGUAUUCUUAUAAAUUCUAGACCAGGGUUUGAUUGUGAUUCAUGGAGAAAAAAG
rnacentral:misc_RNA from 1 species